rnacentral:rRNA from 1 species
CACUCCUGCGGGAGGCAGCAGUGGGGAAUAUUGGACAAUGGGCGCAAGCCUGAUCCAGCCAUGCCGCGUGAGUGAUGAAGGCCCUAGGGUUGUAAAGCUCUUUCACCGGUGAAGAUAAUGACGGUAACCGGAGAAGAAGCCCCGGCUAACUUCGUGCCAGCAGCCGCGGUAAUACGAAGGGGGCUAGCGUUGUUCGGAUUUACUGGGCGUAAAGCGCACGUAGGCGGACUAUUAAGUCAGGGGUGAAAUCCCGGGGCUCAACCCCGGAACUGCCUUUGAUACUGGUAGUCUUGAGUUCGAGAGAGGUGAGUGGAAUUCCGAGUGUAGAGGUGAAAUUCGUAGAUAUACGGAGGAACACCAGUGGCGAAGGCGGCUCACUGGCUCGAUACUGACGCUGAGGUGCGAAAGCGUGGGGAGCAAACAGGAUUAGAUACCCCAGUAGUCCCAU